AGAGUUUGAUCCUGGCUCAGGACGAACGCUGGCGGCGUGCUUAACACAUGCAAGUCGAACGGUAAGGCCCCUUCGGGGGUACACGAGUGGCGAACGGGUGAGUAACACGUGAGCAACCUACCCUUGACUCUGGAAUAACGGCUGGAAACAGCCGCUAAUACCGGAUAUGACCUCGAGCGUCAUCGCUUGAGGUGGAAAGCUCCGGCGGUCAGGGAUGGGCUCGCGGCCUAUCAGCUAGUUGGUGAGGUAACGGCUCACCAAGGCUUCGACGGGUAGCCGGCCUGAGAGGGCGACCGGCCACACUGGGACUGAGAUACGGCCCAGACUCCUACGGGAGGCAGCAGUGGGGAAUAUUGCACAAUGGGCGCAAGCCUGAUGCAGCAACGCCGCGUGUGGGAUGACGGCCUUCGGGUUGUAAACCACUUUCAGCGCCGACGAAGCGAAAGUGACGGUAGGCGCAGAAGAAGCACCGGCCAACUACGUGCCAGCAGCCGCGGUGAUACGUAGGGUGCGAGCGUUGUCCGGAAUUAUUGGGCGUAAAGGGCUCGUAGGCGGUCCGUCGCGUCGGAAGUGAAAACUCGGGGCUUAACCCCGAGCCUGCUUCCGAUACGGGCGGACUAGAGGAAUGCAGGGGAGAAUGGAAUUCCUGGUGGAGCGGUGGAAUGCGCAGAUAUCAGGAGGAACACCAGUGGCGAAGGCGGUUCUCUGGGCAUUUCCUGACGCUGAGGAGCGAAAGCGUGGGGAGCAAACAGGCUUAGAUACCCUGGUAGUCCACGCCGUAAACGGUGGGCACUAGGUGUGGGACUCAUUCCACGAGUUCCGUGCCGAAGCUAACGCAUUAAGUGCCCCGCCUGGGGAGUA
rnacentral:rRNA from 1 species